rnacentral:lncRNA from 1 species
AAAGACUACAAUUUCCUGGUUGCAGCUGUGGAAGGACUCUGUAUAUUGCAUUGCCGCACUGUGUGACCACCAGAUCUCUGUCAAAUAUUAUGUGGAAAGGAAAAGCCUUGCAGAAAGUGUAUGGACUGAUGCGAGACUCUUGGGUACCAUUUUCUUCAAAUCUGUCAAGGUCUUCAUAGUAGUCCUCUUCUUUAGAUUCUUUCUCUUCAAUUAAAAAUUGAAUGUGGUCACAUUCCUCAUUCCGCUGUUGAAUAACCUUCAUAUCUAUUUCUGUACCAUGGAUCUGCUGAGCUACUGUUUUGAUGAUUCCAAUGACAAUAUCCUGUAGACCUUCCCUUUCUGAAUAGUAAUGCAGAAUGAGUCCUUUCCCCUUCUCCGCAUCAGUGCAUCUGAAGGAAGGGGCUCGCAUACCUGGGUAAAUAGUAGCAAGGUGGUCAUGCAGAGCAUCCAGGUUCUGCAAAAAUUCUCUGACAUUUGAGCCCAGAACACGCAGAAUUGUAUCAUAGCCAGAUUCUUGGCAGAACACAAAAAACAUCUUCCCAAACAUCUGAAGAAUUUCCCCAGCAUUCAGGUUAAGAACCUUGCUUGCAGCUGCAACCAGAUCAUAGGUUUUGGAAUCAUCAUAUAUUAUUCUGACAAGAAACUGUCCUUCUUCAUCCAGCUGAGCCUCCU